UACGUAGGCAGCAAGCGUUGUUCGGAAUUACUGGGCGUAAAGGGUGGGUAGGCGGUGCUUCAAGUUUGGUGUGAAAUCUCCCGGCUCAACUGGGAGGGUGCGCCGAAAACUGAGGUGCUCGAGUGUGGGAUAGGUAGGCGGAAUUCCUGGUGUAGCGGUGAAAUGCGUAGAUAUCAGGAGGAACACCGGCGGUGUAGACGGCUUACUGGACCAUUACUGACGCUGAACCACGAAAGUGUGGGUAGCAAACAGG
rnacentral:rRNA from 1 species